rnacentral:rRNA from 1 species
UACAGAGGGUGCAAGCGUUGUUCGGAAUUACUGGGCGUAAAGCGUGCGUAGGUGGUGAGUUAAGUCUGAUGUGAAAUCCCCGGGCUCAACCUGGGAAUGGCAUUGGAUACUGGCUCGCUGGAGUGCGGUAGAGGGUGGUGGAAUUCCCGGUGUAGCAGUGAAAUGCGUAGAGAUCGGGAGGAACAUCUGUGGCGAAGGCGGCCACCUGGACCAGCACUGACACUGAGGCACGAAAGCGUGGGGAGCAAAUAGG